rnacentral:rRNA from 1 species
UACGAAGGGGGCUAGCGUUGCUCGGAAUUACUGGGCGUAAAGCGCACGUAGGCGGUUUUUUAAGUCGGGGGUGAAAUCCUGGAGCUCAACUCCAGAACUGCCUUCGAUACUGGAAGACUUGAGUCCGGGAGAGGUGAGUGGAAUUGCGAGUGUAGAGGUGAAAUUCGUAGAUAUUCGCAAGAACACCAGUGGCGAAGGCGGCUCACUGGCCCGGUACUGACGCUGAGGUGCGAAAGCGUGGGGAGCAAACAGG